UAAAAUUACCUAAAAUCAUGAAAAAGUUAAGCCAAGUUACAAAAAAAAUCAUGAAAAAGUUGACAACUAAGCAAAAUCACUUCAUAAAUAAUAGUAUAGAUUAUUUUUAAUAAACAAACACAAAUUUAUUAAAAUAAAAUUCAUAAUUAAAGAAUUAAAAUUUCAAAAUUGAAAUUAUUUAUUUGUCAGUAAAAUGGUAGAAUGAUGAAUUUUAAAAAGAAAUCAUUGUAUUACAUAAAAAAAAUAAAAAAAUGGUAAUGAUUAUGUAGAAUUAAGAAAAGGUAAUAUGAUAAUGUGGAUUAUUAAAAGGCAAAAAGUAUGAUGUCUAAUAAUAUAACAAUUAGAUGAUAA
rnacentral:lncRNA from 1 species